rnacentral:rRNA from 1 species
GACGAACGCUGGCGGCGUGCCUAACACAUGCAAGUCGAGCGGAAGACUUCGGUCUUCAGCGGCGGACGGGUGAGUAACACGUGGGUAACCUGCCUCAUAGAGGGGGAUAGCCUCCCGAAAGGGAGAUUAAUACCGCAUAACAUCAUGCUAACGCACGUUAGUAUGAUCAAAGGAGUAAUCCGCUAUGAGAUGGACCCGCGGCGCAUUAGCUAGUUGGUGAGGUACCGGCUUACCAAGGCGACGAUGCGUAGCCGACCUGAGAGGGUGAUCGGCCACAUUGGAACUGAGACACGGUCCAGACUCCUACGGGAGGCAGCAGUGGGGAAUAUUGCACAAUGGGCGAAAGCCUGAUGCAGCAACGCCGCGUGAGUGAAGAAGGCCUUCGGGUUGUAAAGCUCUGUCUUUUGGGACGAUAAUGACGGUACCAAAGGAGGAAGCCACGGCUAACUACGUGCCAGCAGCCGCAGUAA